AGCCCCGUAGUGAGUGACACGUCAAAUUGCAAAUUUGAAAAGGCCCCAUUUUGG
rnacentral:tRNA from 1 species